rnacentral:rRNA from 1 species
GACGAACGCUGGCGGCGUGCUUAACACAUGCAAGUCGAACGGUAAGGCCCUUCGGGGUACACGAGUGGCGAACGGGUGAGUAACACGUGGGUGAUCUGCCCUGCACUUCGGGAUAAGCCUGGGAAACUGGGUCUAAUACCGGAUAGGACCACUGCCUGCAUGGGUGGUGGUGGAAAGCUUUUGCGGUGUGGGAUGGGCCCGCGGCCUAUCAGCUUGUUGGUGGGGUGAUGGCCUACCAAGGCGACGACGGGUAGCCGGCCUGAGAGGGUGACCGGCCACACUGGGACUGAGAUACGGCCCAGACUCCUACGGGAGGCAGCAGUGGGGAAUAUUGCACAAUGGGCGCAAGCCUGAUGCAGCGACGCCGCGUGAGGGACGACGGCCUUCGGGUUGUAAACCUCUUUCAGCACCGACGAAGCGCAAGUGACGGUAGGUGCAGAAGAAGGACGGGCCAACUACGUGCCAGCCGCCGCAGUAA